CCUACGGGAGGCAGCAGUGAGGAAUAUUGGUCAAUGGGCGCGAGCCUGAACCAGCCAAGUCGCGUGAAGGAUGAAUGCUCUACGGGUUGUAAACUUCUUUUAUAAAGGAAUAAAGUGAGGCACGUGUGCCUUUAUGUAUGUACUUUAUGAAUAAGGAUCGGCUAACUCCGUGCCAGCAGCCGCGGUAAUACGGAGGAUCCGAGCGUUAACCGGAUUUUUUGGGGUUAAAGGGAGCGUAGAUGGGUUGUUAAGUCAGUUGUGAAAGUUUGCGGCUAAACCGGAAAAUUGUAAUUGAUACUGGCAGUCUUGAGUACAGUUGAGGUAGGCGGAAUUCGUGGUGUAGCGGGGAAAUG
rnacentral:rRNA from 1 species